GUCCAUGCAAGUAAAUGAUUGUAUCUUACAGGGCUGAAGUAGCAGGACUAAAGGCUACUUUAUUCCUCAACAUAUGCAUUUGCAGGGUUAGCCCUUAUCUAUGGCUAGUCAAUGGGUGUAAUGUUGAUCCUCUGGGGUCAAGUCAGGUAAUAACCCCUUCAGGACACAGCUUCAGAAGUAAAAAGCCAGCAUGACGGAAAAUGUCCAUCAUGUGUCCUUAACACGAUAAAUAAAUGGGCAAAAGAGUCAUGUAAAGUGGGGAACAGCUUGUAGUAUGGGGGCUGAAGAAAAAAA